rnacentral:rRNA from 1 species
GAUCAUGGCUCAGGAUGAACGCUGGCGGCGUGCCUAACACAUGCAAGUCGAGCGAAGCACUUUGCUUAGAUUCUUCGGAUGAAGAGGAUUGUGACUGAGCGGCGGACGGGUGAGUAACGCGUGGGUAACCGUGCCUCAUACAGGGGGAUAACAGUUAGAAAUGACUGCUAAUACCGCAUAAGACCACAGCACCGCAUGGUGCGGGGGUAAAAACUCCGGUGGUAUGAGAUGGG